rnacentral:snoRNA from 1 species
ACGAGGUGUGAUGAUACUUACCCAGCAUUUCUGCUAUUGGAUGAUGAAUAUAUAUACAUGCACUACCAUCUGAUCUCUGU